CAGAAAACUAAAUUUUAUAUAAAAAAUAUAUUUUUAAAAAAUAAUAUUUAUUUUUUUUAAAAAAAAUGUGGAGGUCUUAAAUAUUUUUUCGGCCUAGAGUCUCAAAAAUGGUUGAGACGACCCUAUCCGUCCCAUGGUUGGAUCCUAUUCCCAUCAUAGGACUCAACCUUUCUCUUAAAUUAAAAAUUAAAAAAAUCAUAAAAAUAAAAUGGCUAUCACUAUAGAUGAGGGAUGAUGGGGGUAUUUUUUUUUAGUAUUUGAGGUUGUUUUGUAACUUUAGACCAAAAGACCAUAAUGACUGUAUUUUUUUUAUUGUUUUAGGGAAAAAGGUCUUCUUUCCCCUUCUGAAAGAGGUAUGGGUGGGAAUUUUCAAUUGGUUGUGUUUAGGUUUGUGGGUCACAGAGACUGCACCCAAGUUAGGCUUGGGCUCACCCCAUUUUGACCCCACUAAUGGAAUGUGUUUGAACCUAACCCAUUUGACACUACUCGUGGGUCACAGAGACUGUCACAAAUGGACUUCAAAUUGAUUUAGUAUUGAAAACCCUCAACUCACAAAAGAAAUUAUGAAGUACAGGUCCCAAGUCGAAUCUCUCGAGGAAAACUAGUAAGUGGAUGUUCGCCUUAGAUUUAAAACUCUUUUGGGGUUUUCUGAUUGAAAAGGGGGGAGGGUUGUUUUUCGGUUCAACUUUUAAAAUGAAGUAAUGUAAAUCUAAUUGAGCUUAAUCCUAACCUGGAAUUAAAUCCUACUCAUGAAGAGAGAUUACAACUAAUUAAAGGAAACUAAAAUUACGAAACCACAAUAACUACAACUUGAAAUCACAAGCUAAAUCAGUGGAAUAAAUGCAGAAAUAAAACCCGUGGAAUAAAUGCAGAAAUAAAACCCAAGCUUCAACUUAACCAAGUAGCAAAUAUCAUCUAACUUUAACACCUCCUUACCAUCCCUAAACUAAUGGCCCUCAAAAAGUAAAUUGCAACUCCACAAAACAAACUUAAUCUACUCAAGCUAAGCUGGAAAUGAUGUGAGCUAUCCAUGCAACUAGGCUUCCUAGAAUUUAAGUAGCAAAACUUUUGUGCUGAAAUUCAAAGUGCUGAAAACUCUUUCCUUAAACAGAAUUAUGCUAAACAAACGAGCAGUGACAAAAUGGAACACUAAAUUGCAGAAAUUAAGCUAUCUAAAACAAGAUCAAGAGCCUAAUUGCAGAAUUGAAAACGUGUAACCAUUAAAUUGCAAAAUCUUAAAUGUUGAAACCAAAGCAGAGUUCCUAAUUGCAAUUAAUGAAAGUGCAAAAACAGGAAGAAAAUUGCAAGAGCCGAAACGUAAAACACAAUCUAACCAACUCAAAUUUCAAAACUGAAAGAGUAAAACAUCCCUAAUCCCUAAUUGCUCUUUCAACUUUCCUUCUCUUUGCCGUCACACAAAGAAGCUUAAUGAAACCUCACUUCAACAAUUGGAGAAGAAAAUCUCAGCAUCAAACUCAGCCCAGAGGAUUUCUGUGAGGCUGGAAUCUCUGAAUCUGGAAGCUGCUGCUUGAUGGUC